UACAGCCGGAGUAGUUAUGGUCAGUCA
rnacentral:piRNA from 1 species